rnacentral:rRNA from 1 species
UAGAGUUUGAUCCUGGCUCAGAUUGAACGCUGGCGGCAUGCUUUACACAUGCAAGUCGAGCGGCAGCGCGGGGGCAACCAUGGCGGCGAGCGGCGAACGGGUGAGGAACACAUCGGAACGUACCCCGGAGUGGGGGAUAACGCCGCGAAAGCGGCGCUAAUACCGCAUAUGCUCUGUGGAGGAAAGUGGGGGACCCGCAAGGGCCUCACGCCCUGGGCGCGGCCGAUGUCCGAUUAGCUAGUUGGUGGGGUAAUGGCUCACCAAGGCGACGAUCGGUAGCUGGUCUGAGAGGAUGAUCAGCCACCCUGGGAAGUGAGACACGGCCCAGACUCCUACGGGAGGCAGCAGUGGGGAAUUUUGGACAAUGGGGGCAACCCUGAUCCUUAACAUGCCGCGUGCGGGAAGAAGGCCUUCGGGUUGUCUACCUAAUUUAGCCGGGAAGAAAAGGCGACUCUUAAUACGGGUGAAUACCGCGGGGCUGCCGACUUCGAACCUGU